rnacentral:ncRNA from 1 species
UGGAGCUGGUACUAAUAUACUAGCCUGUGCUUAAGUCCUCAGGAGUGGUACACUCGUUUUCAGCUUAGGAACACCACAGCUAGCACCACCGUUCCA